rnacentral:rRNA from 1 species
UACGAAGGGGGCUAGCGUUGCUCGGAAUCACUGGGCGUAAAGGGCGCGUAGGCGGCCAUUCAAGUCGGGGGUGAAAGCCUGCGGCUCAACCACAGAAUUGCCUUCGAUACUGUUUGGCUUGAGUUUGGUAGAGGUUGGUGGAACUGCGAGUGUAGAGGUGAAAUUCGUAGAUAUUCGCAAGAACACCAGUGGCGAAGGCGGCCAACUGGACCAAUACUGACGCGUGAGG